rnacentral:misc_RNA from 1 species
UCAGGCAAAAUUGGAGGACCAUUAUCAAUGGGUUUUCCGGAACCAUUAAAUAUGCGACCAAGCAUAUCCAAUGAUACAGGAGUUUUCAAAACCUCUCCUGUGAAUUGCACAGUUGUGUAUUUGUUGUCAAUACCAGAUGUUCCUUCAAAAACCUGCACGACAGCUUUCUCCCCAUCAACUUCUAAGACCUGGCCACGCCGAGUUGUUCCAUCUCCCAAGCGAAUAUUAACAAUCUCCUGGUACUUUGGACCCUUGACUUUGUCGAGAAUAACCAGUGGCCCGGCAACACCAGAGACAGUUCUAUACUCCAUUCCAAUCUCUAGAGUUCCCUCUUCCAUAUCAAAACUCUUCUCUGCCGCUCCCAUCUUUCGAGUCCAAU